AACGUUUACGGUUGGUCGAUCAAACCAAAGGGUUGAUGUUGGCCGGCCUCGUUUCUGUUUGGCCUUGCAUCUCUAUCACUUUCUCUCACACUCUAAUUUCCCUGCAUGCAUACGUUAACCCAUUAAUUUAAUUUAUGCACAUAAAUACAUAAAUCCCAACUCCACCUUUGAACAAAAAUUGUAUACUUGAAGAGCCUGAGGCUGAGAUCUCAACAUGCCGAACAAAAUGGCAAAGUUUUGCAAGGAAAGGUGGUGUUUAUCACCGUAUAUGUUGAGAAGCCAAGGAGGACAAGGGUGUCAGCAAAUCGGCAUCAUCAUCAUCAUCACCAUCACUACCAUCACCAUCAUCUUCUUCAUGCCAACAAUCAAGAGGUAAAUCGGGGUUCUGGUAAAGGAUACAAUAGGAGAGCUGAGCUCCUUCGCUAUUCUCAAAGUCUAAGGACGUCUGCUCGAUCAGCUGCAUUUUCAUCAUCAUCAUCCACUCUUUUGCUUCCAAAGCCAACCUCUCCUAAGAAUCAGCCACCCACAACUAAUACUGUUGCUAUUCAUAGAAAGCCAAGCCAUCCAAGGACUCCUACUUGUAUGGGCAACUGGAAAAUUUUGGUUCCAAGUUUUGUCUGGUCUUUGACAAGUCCCAAAGCUAAGAAAGCCAGAAAGACAGAAGCAUGAUGGAUCUACUACUACUAAAAUGAAAGCUCUUAUGAAAAGUUUAGGGAUGCAGAAGAAGAGAUUCACAAUUCCAAAACUGUUUUCAGCAUUCCGGAGGCAUAGAUGAAGCAUCCACUAUUAUUAAGCCAUGCCUUAAUUCAAAUUGGACGGAUUAGCGUCAGAUAUACUGGUUCAUCAGCUUGUAUAUAUAUAUAAUCAAACUUUACUGAUAUAAAAUUCUUUUUUGUUAUGAUUAUAA